rnacentral:rRNA from 1 species
GACAGAGGGUGCAAACGUUGUUCGGAAUUACUGGGCGUAAAGCGUGCGCAGGCGGUUAUUUAAGUCAGGUGUGAAAGCCCUGGGCUUAACCUAGGAAUUGCGCUUGAGACUGGAUAGCUUGGAGUGCGGCAGAGGGAGGUGGAAUUCCACGUGUAGCAGUGAAAUGCGUAGAGAUGUGGAGGAACACCGAUGGCGAAGGCAGCCUCCUGGGCCAGCACUGACGCUCAUGCACGCAAGCGUGGGGAGCAAACAGG